rnacentral:tRNA from 1 species
GUUGAAAUGUCUGAUUAGGUGAUAAAUUGUAAAUUUAUUUAUGAGUUAUUAACUCUUUCAAUA